AAUGAACGCUGGCGGCAUGCCUAACACAUGCAAGUCGAACGAAGGCUUCGGCCUUAGUGGCGCACGGGUGCGUAACGCGUGGGAAUCUGCCCUUGGGUUCGGAAUAACAGUUAGAAAUGACUGCUAAUACCGGAUGAUGUCGUAAGACCAAAGAUUUAUCGCCCAAGGAUGAGCCCGCGUAGGAUUAGCUAGUUGGCGGGGUAAAGGCCCACCAAGGCGACGAUCCUUAGCUGGUCUGAGAGGAUGAUCAGCCACACUGGGACUGAGACACGGCCCAGACUCCUACGGGAGGCAGCAGUGGGGAAUAUUGGAAAAUGGGCGAAAGCCUGAUCCAGAAAUGCCGCGUGAGUGAUGAAGGCCUUAGGGUUGUAAAGCUUUUUUACCCGGGAUGAUAAUGACAGUACGGGGAGAAUAAGCUCCGGCUAAUUUCGUGCCAGCCGCCGCGGUAA
rnacentral:rRNA from 1 species